rnacentral:lncRNA from 1 species
AAUUCUAUCUUUAAGGUUAGUGUACAUGAGUUUCUCUAAAGCCAAUUCAUCUACUUUUUCUUCAAGUUUAGCUAUUUUUAGAGAGAGACUACUGUUAUCUGAUUCUGAAGCUAACAAACUAGUGUGCAAGUUAUACAUCUCUUGACCUAGUUCAUUUAUAGUCUUUUUAUAAUCAGCAGUAGUCAUGUCAUCAACAGAAAUUUCAGGAGAUACCUGAGAUGGAGAUUCCUCGAUUGUGUCAGCCAUUAAUGCAAAUGCAUA